rnacentral:rRNA from 1 species
UACGGAGGCUGCAAGCGUUCUCCGGAAUGAUUGGGCGUAAAGCGUCCGCAGGUGGCCAUGUAAGUCUGCUGUUAAAGAGUGAGGCUCAACCUCAUAAGAGCAGUGGAAACUACAUAGCUAGAGUGCGUUCGGGGCAAAGGGAAUUCCUGGUGUAGCGGUGAAAUGCGUAGAGAUCAGGAAGAACACCGGUGGCGAAAGCGCUUUGCUAGGCCGCAACUGACACUGAGGGACGAAAGCUAGGGGAGCGAAUGGG